UUCGACCUGAACUCAGACGUGAGUACCCGCUGA
rnacentral:rRNA from 1 species